rnacentral:tRNA from 1 species
GUGGUUGUGGCUCAGUGGUAGAGCGCUUGCCUAGCAUGGACGAGGCACUGGGUUCAAUCCUCAGCACCACA